GCACCCGUAGCUCAGUAGGAUAGAGUACUGCUUUCCGAAAGCAGAGGUCUCAGGUUCAAUUCCUGUCGGGUGUA
rnacentral:tRNA from 1 species